rnacentral:rRNA from 1 species
GAUGAACGCUGGCGGCGCGCUUAAGACAUGCAAGUCGAACGGAACUUAGUUGAAUGUUUACAUGAUACGGAAGUUUAGUGGCGGACGGGUGAGUAACACGUGAGCAACCUGCCUUAGAGAAUGGGACAACAGAGGGAAACUUCUGCUAAUACCGAAUGUGCUAGAAAUAGUAAAGGCGCUUCAAAGCGUCGCUUAUAGAUGAGCCUGCGGUGUAUUAGCUAGUUGGUGGGGUAAUGGCCUACCAAGGCGACGAUCAGUAGCCGACCUGAGAGGGUGACCGGCCACAUUGGGACUGAGACACGGCCCAAACUCCUACGGGAGGCAGCAGUGGGGAAUAUUGCACAAUGGGCGAAACCCUGACCCAGCAACGCCGCGUGAAGGAAGAAGGCCUUCGGGUUGUAAACUUCUUUUAGCAGGGACGAAGAACGUGACGGUACCUGCAGAAAAAGCAACGGCUAACUACGUG